rnacentral:rRNA from 1 species
UACGGAGGUGGCAAGCGUUGCUCGGAAUCACUGGGCGUAAAGGGCGCGUAGGCGGGGAGGUAAGUCGGGUGUGAAAUCCCCUCGGCCCAACCGAGGAACUGCGCCCGAGACUGCUUCUCUUGAGUCCCGGAGAGGAAGAUGGAAUUCCCGGUGUAGCGGUGAAAUGUGUAGAGAUCGGGAGGAACACCGGUGGCGAAGGCGGUCUUCUGGACGGUGACUGACGCUGAGGCGCGAAAGCGUGGGGAGCAAACGGG